rnacentral:lncRNA from 1 species
CAGGAGCACAAUGUCAAUAGUCAAUGUGACACAAUCAGGCUGGAAGGAAGAUUUAUUUGAAAAUUUAUGUCAAAACAGUAAAUUUUUAAAUGAGGAUUAUAGAAAAAAUUUGCGUUGAGAUACAGAAUCCGAUAUUUUUAGACCAUUAUAAAAUUUAUUUUUUUGUGUAAACGUAAAACUAAAUUGGCAUAUAAAUCAACUUUAAUAACAAUAUGGAAACAAAACAAGAAGCUAGUGGGAAAACUUGUAAAAUAGAAACAGAUAUUGAGACAUAUGAUGGUUCCCUGGAUGUCUUCAAAAUUGAAAUUACGGAAGAACCCAAGAGAGAGUGUGCAUAUGACGCAUUUGAUUAUGUAGACUUAAAAAAUGAAUUCCCCCCAAAAACUGAAGUAGAAGAUGAAUAUAAAUUGACAUUAUUUGAAGAAAGGAAAAAGAGUGAAGAAGGUGAGUAAAUAACAUUGAUUCUUAGAAAAUUAAUUAUAUUCUGGGGAAGUUUAUUACUGAGAGGUUAAGAGUACAUAUACAACUAAUGGAAGUUGAUUUUAACCCUUUCGAUACUGUUGUCAUUUGCAGCUUUGAUGAACGAGCGCUGUACGUUAUGCAAAUUAAUCUCCACAGUUCAGGUUCUGUGACUGUACAUUUUUAAGUACUUGCAUCUUGUUAAAAAGGCAAUAUCCCAAUAACCAAGGUUACCUCCCUUCAAACCCUUCUUACAUCAUAUCACAGCAACUUUCACUCACGACUAACUUACGCAAUCCUUUCCUGGGGACACUCUUGCCAUAUAGAUAAGGUGUUUGGUCAGCAGAGAAAGUGUAUUCGCAUAAUCACAGGUCAGGGUUAUCGGGACGAUUGUAGGCAGUCUUUCAGAAACCUGAGGAUUCU